rnacentral:rRNA from 1 species
UACGUAGGGACCAAGCGUUGUUCGGAUUUACUGGGCAUAAAGGGCGCGUAGGCGGCAAAUUAAGUCAGCUGUGAAAUCUCCGAGCUUAACUCGGAACUGUCAGCUGAUACUGAUGUGCUAGAGUGCGGAAGGGGCAAUCGGAAUUCUUGGUGUAGCGGUGAAAUGCGUAGAUAUCAAGAGGAACACCUGAGGUGAAGACGGGUUGCUGGGCCGACACUGACGCUGAGUGCGCGAAAGCCAGGGGAGCAAACGGG